rnacentral:rRNA from 1 species
GUGGGGAAUAUUGCGCAAUGGGCGAAAGCCUGACGCAGCGACGCCGCGUGGAGGAUGAAGGCCUUCGGGUUGUAAACUCCUGUCAGGGGGAACGAAAAGGCUUCGGUGAAUAGCCGAGGCUCUUGACGGUACCCUCAGAGGAAGCCCCGGCUAACUACGUGCCAGCAGCCGCGGUAAUACGUAGGGGGCGAGCGUUGUUCGGAUUUAUUGGGCGUAAAGCGCGCGUAGGCGGUGAGGUAAGUGAGAGGUUAAAUCCCUCUGCUCAACAGAGGAAUCGCCUCUUAAACUGCCUUGCUUGAGUUCAGGAGAGGAGAGCGGAAUUCCUGGUGGAGCGGUGAAAUGCGUAGAUACCAGGAGGAACACCGGUGGCGAAGGCGGCUCUCUGGACUGAUACUGACGCUGAGGCGCGAAAGCCAGGGGAGCAAACGGGAUUAGAAACCCCAGUAGUCC